rnacentral:lncRNA from 1 species
ACCAGGGACAGAAGUGGCCCGACCACCAUGCUGCCCACAAGCUCGGCCAUUGGAGCAGUCAGAGCUCACGAGAACGCACGCUGAGAAAUGAGAACACACUUUGGAGUGGAGAAGAGGAUGGUUUGCGGAAGCGCUUUGGAGGUAAAUGGAGACCAACGCCAAGCACUGACCUUCUUGGGCGCCUAGGCUGACAGAGCAGCAGUAGCAGAGGCGGGGCAGUAGCGGUCGCAGCGGAGGGGCCGGCGGCGUACGGGAAGAGAAGAUAGAGAAGAGGAUAUGUUUCUGCAAGACUUGCAAUGGCAGAAGGAGAAGACUAGCAUGGAAGACUUGUGCUCAGCUCACAACAGGAGCCAUAAAAUAAGCAAAGGAUCAGAAGAUGAUAGACAAGUCCAAGCUAUUUUUAUAAGCUGAUGAUGACAGGUGUGGAUGCUGUUGGCUGUGCUUGUGAAGCUGCAGUGUUUCUGUUCACAUCUUAAGGUAAUACUCCUACUUAAUAGUCACAUCCUGGUUUAGUUAUGCUAAUGAUGGAUUGAUCACUGAACAAACGUGUUUACCGGUGCACAGUGUUCAGGUAGCCAUGUGUGUUCAAAGACCAUAUAAGGUCAUGUUUAGUUUUCCUCAAAAUCCCAAAUUUGACACUAUGCAAAGAAGAUUCCUCAUCACAUUAAACUUGCGAUACAUGCAUGGAGUACUAAAUGUAGAUGAAAUCAAAAACUAAUUGCACAGUUUUGUUGUACUUUGCGAGACGAAUCUUUUGAGCCUAAUUAGUCAAUAUUUGGACAAUAAUUCACAAAUACAAACGAAAUGCUACAGUUGCGCAUUUAUGACAAACUCCCAACUUUGACACUCCCAAAUUUGGAACUAAACAAGGCCUAAAUGUUCUGCAUUCUGGAGCAGCCUUUUGCAUUUCCUCGGGUUGCGCUCACAGGGAAAAAGCGAUACCAUUUAUCUAUUGGUCGAGUCACAGUCUUCCAUUUCUUCCACCCAACUUUGGCACUAUGCAAAAAGAAAAUUCUCCAUCACAUCAAAUUUGCGGUACAUGCAUGGAGUACUAAAUGUAGACGAAAUUAAAAACUAAUUGCACAGUUUUGUUGUACUUUGCGAGACGAAUCUUUUGAGCCUAAUUAGUCAAUAUUUAGACAAUAAUUCACAAAUACAAACGAAACACUACAGUGUCGCAUUUAUGGCAGAAUGCUAAUUUUGCCACUCCCAAAUUAGCAAGUAAACAAGGCCCGAUGACUUGGACAAUAAUGAUGUGUACGGUGUACCUACCACUUUUAUUUCGUCGACAAGGUCUCUUGAAUUUAUUUUAUAAAAUUAUUAAUGUGUUAAAAUUUAACUAGUGCCUCACCUUUUCAAAAUGGCACGAUUUGCUCGGUUCCACGAGCUAAAAUUUAGAUAUCCAAUGUUUAGAUACUAAUUAGGAGUAUUAAACAUUUAGACUAAUUACAGAACCAAUUGCAGUUAAUUCACGAGACGAAUCUAUUAAACCUAAUUAAUUCAUGAUUCACGAGACGAAUCUAUUAAACCUAAUUAAUUCAUGAUUACCAGGUUGCUAAUCCGAAGCAUGACAGUAAGAUCAUUGAUAUAUCCGAACCUGAGAACGCACGCUGAGAAAUGAGAACACAGGGAAACACUUUGGAGUGGAGAAGAGGAGUCUGCGGAAGCGCUUUGGAGACCAACGCCAAGCACUGACCUUCUUGGGGCGCUUAAUUUAUUGGUUGUAUCGAAAGCCGUGAUGAUAUUAUUUUGUAUUACGGCUUUCCAGGUGAACUAUUAUAUACAAGUCGCCUUAAAGCAUCAUUACGGCUUUAGAUAGUAAUAUCAAUAAUAUCAUCACGGCUUUCCAUGUGCCAUCACGAGGGUACAGCCUGGUUCACGCCCG